GUAUCAAUUAUUGGAAUUGUAAAUCUUAACUAUUCUAUAUUUUACCAAAGUUGUAUGAAAAAGAUAGAUUGAAGUAAUUAUUAUGAACUAAUUAACUUAUUGAUAGUGUAGAGUAAUGAAAAUGAAAUAAAUAUAAUAAAAGUAUAAGUAAAAUUUAAUUUGUACCUUUUGUAUCAGGGUUAAUUAAUAUAAUUCAAGAAUCUUGAAAGUCUCGAAAGUAAAUGAUCUAAAUAUGUAAAACUGUUCUUGUGGAAUAAAGAAUGUAAAUAUGUAUUUAGAAAUUAUAUGUUUUUCGCAUUUAUUGAUAUCUAGUUUUUUUCUAAAUAAAUUUAAUUUAUAUACAUUAAUUAUAUAUAACAAUUAUUAAAAUUAAAUUAUGUUUAAUGUAUAAAAAACUUACGGGAUAAGCUGUAAGUUCUAAUUAUUUAAUACAGUAAUACUUAAUUUUAUGAACCUAUGGUCUUAGUAUUAGACAUUAGAAUAGAAAAUCUCACAAUUCAUUUUGAUGCGAAUAAAAAUUUAUCUUCAAAUGAAAUUGGUAUAAAUAAUUUUUAGAAAAAAACAAUUAAUAAUAUAAUAUAAUUGAUUAAAAUGAUUAAAUUAGUAGUAAAUUGUAUAGCAAAUGUAAAAAGUAUUAAUAUUUUAAAAUAAAUAUACUUAAGGAACUAGGCAAACAAUUAAUAGUAUUCACCUGUUUAUCAAAAACAUGGCUUAUUGAUAAUAAUUUUAAGUCGAUCUGCCCAAUGAAUUAGUUUUUUAAUGGCUGCAGUAUAACUGACUGUACAAAGGUAGCAUAGUAAAUUGGUUUUUAAAUGAAAUCUAGAAUGAAAGGAUUAAUGGAAUACGCACUGUCUCAUAUAUAUAAAAUGAACUUAAAAUUUUAAUAAAAAUGUUAAAAUUUUUUUAUGGGACGAUAAGACCCUAUAGAAUUUUAUACUAACAUUAAUUAGUACUUAAUAUUAUUUUAUUGCUAGUAUUUGAUUGGGAGGAUCAUUAAAUUUAAUAAACUUUAUAUUUCGAAUAACUUUAAUUAAAGAAAAUAUAAUGACCCUUAAUUUAAGACAGAUAGAGUAAAUUACCUUAGGGAUAACAGCGUAAUACUUUUUUAUAGACCAUAUAGAAAAAAGUGAUUGCGACCUCGAUGUUGAAUUAAGAUAAAUUUUAAAUGCAGGAGUUUAAUAAUUAAGUCUGUUCGACUUUUAAAAUCUUACAUGAUUUGAGUUCAAAUCGACGUAAGUCAGAUUGGUUUCUAUCUAUAAAAAUAUUUAAAUUGUUUGUACGAAAGGACUACAAUUUACAAAAUAUUUGUAUUUAACUAAUUAAUAUAUACAU
rnacentral:rRNA from 1 species